UUUAAACUCCUUUCAUAGUUGAUCACUGCCACUAAUAUGUGUUUAUUUAAAGCCCAAAUUGACUAUGUAUCACUUUGGUACAAAUACCAUUAAGAUAUGUUUUUUUUGUUAUCUCUCGUGUAUUUGCUCUCAAGGAUUUAUACAAGAUGAUUUUAAGAUUAAGAUGGUUCUGAAUGCUUUUCUGGCUCAUAGAUACUCAGAUACAGUUUGUCCAGUGCGGUUAAAGAAUUAAUCAAUGCUCAAAGCUCAAAACGCACACAUUGAUCGUUAUAAGAAAAACAUUAAAGUUGGGAAACGCCAGCGAAAACUGUUCACAAAUCUUGCCUUGAAACAAGAAAAGAUGGCAAUGAAGGCUGCUUUAUUCACGAUGAAGAUCAAGAGAACCGUGUUCUUUGUACACAUAUUGUAUUUUGUGAUGCUUGCAUAUGAAGCUAUGUUCUAGAUGGGAUGGAGUAGUGUUGUUUUCUUCAUUCGGGAUAUAGAAAGUUAGGAAACAAUAGUCAUUUGUAUAAUUUUAUAAUAUUUCUUUGCAUUAUACUUUAUAAUUUUUCUUAUCUAUUUGUAGAAUCUCUUAUUUUUUUUGUCA